UACGUAGGGGGCAAGCGUUGUCCGGAUUUAUUGGGCGUAAAGAGCGUGUAGGCGGUCAGGUAGGUCCGUUGUGAAAACUCGAGGCUCAACCUCGAGACGUCGGCGGAAACCAUCUGGCUAGAGUCCGGAAGAGGAGAGUGGAAUUCCUGGUGUAGCGGUGAAAUGCGCAGAUAUCAGGAAGAACACCCGUGGCGAAGGCGGCUCUCUGGGACGGUACUGACGCUGAGACGCGAAAGCGUGGGGAGCGAACAGG
rnacentral:rRNA from 1 species